GAUAGGGCUAGGGACUAAUGAAAGUAUUUAGAAAAUUGGGCAGACUAGAUGGGCCGAAUGGUUCUUAUCUGCCGUCACAUUCUAUGUUUCUAUGUUUCUAUGUUUCUAUGUUUCCGAUCAUGCUCCAGUGAGGGAAUUAAGGACAGCAAGUUGUCCUUGCAAUGGGGAUCCAGCAGGGUGGCUACCCAGUAAUCAGUACAAGUUAGAAUGUGGGCAACUUGGCAGUCGUUGCGCAGGCACUUUGGUGGCACUAGAUAACCUUGGGCCGAUCGCACGUCCAUGACGGCAACAACGCAUUCGGAUGUCUGCCCUAUCAACUUUCGAUGUUACUUUCUGCGCCUACCAUGGUGACCACAGGUAACGGGGAAUCAGGGUUCGAUUCCGGAGAGGGAGUCUGAGAAACGGCUACCACAUUCAAGGAAGGCAGCAGGCGCGCAAAUUACCCACUCCCGACGCGGGGAGGUAGUGACGAAAAAUAACAAUACAGGACUCUUUCGAGGCCCUGAAAUUGGAAUGAGUACACUUCAAAUCCUUUAACGAGGAUCUAUUGGAGGGCAAGUCUGGUGCAGAGCGACUGACCCGUGCGUGCUGCAGCGGAAACUCCACUAUC